UAAAAACCCCGACUUCGGAAGGGGUGUAUUUAUUAGAUACAAAACCAAUGCCCUUCGGGGCUCUUUGGUGAUUCAUGAUAACUAUACGAAUCGCACGGCCUUGCGCCGGCGAUGGUUCAUUCAAAUUUCUUCCCUAUCAACUUUCGAUGUUUGGGUAUUGGCCAAACAUGGUUGCAACGGGUAACGGAGGGUUAGGGCUCGACCCCGGAGAAGGAGCCUGAGAAACGGCUACUACAUCCAAGGAAGGCAGCAGGCGCGCAAAUUACCCAAUCCCGACUCGGGGAGGUAGUGACAAUAAAUACUGAUACAGGGCCCUUUCGGGCCUUGUAAUUGGAAUGAGUACAAUUUAAAUCCCUUAACGAGGAACAAUUGGAGGGCAAGUCUGGUGCCAGCAGCCGCGGUAAUUCCAGCUCCAAUAGCGUAUAUUAAAGUUGUUGUGGUUAAAAAGCUCGUAGUUGAACCUUGGGCCUGGCUGGCCGGUCCGCCUCACCGCGUGCACUGGUCCGGCCGGGCCUUUCCCUCUGUGGAACCCCAUACCCUUCAGUGGGCGUGGGGGGGAAACAUGACAUUUACUUU
rnacentral:rRNA from 1 species